rnacentral:SRP_RNA from 1 species
GCUGGGCAUGGUGGUGCACGCCUGUAGUCCCAGCUACUUGGGAAGCUGAGGCAGGAGAAUGGCUUGAACCCAGGAGGCGGAGGUUGCAGUGAGCCGAGAUGGCGACACUGCACUCCAGCCUGGGUGACAGAGCAAGACUCUGUCUCUC